rnacentral:rRNA from 1 species
UACGUAGGGUGCAAGCGUUGUCCGGAAUUAUUGGGCGUAAAGAGCUCGUAGGCGGUUUGUCGCGUCUGCCGUGAAAGUCCGGGGGCUCAACUCCGGGAUCUGCGGUGGGUACGGGCAGACUAGAGUGAUGUAGGGGAGACUGGAAUUCCUGGUGUAGCGGUGAAAUGCGCAGAUAUCAGGAGGAACACCGAUGGCGAAGGCAGGUCUCUGGGCAUUAACUGACGCUGAGGAGCGAAAGCAUGGGGAGCGAACAGG